CCUACGGGAGGCAGCAGUGGGGAAUAUUGGACAAUGGGCGCAAGCCUGAUCCAGCCAUACCGCGUGGGUGAAGAAGGCCUUCGGGUUGUAAAGCCCUUUUGUUGGGAAAGAAAUCCAGCUGGCUAAUACCCGGUUGGGAUGACGGUACCCAAAGAAUAAGCACCGGCUAACUUCGUGCCAGCAGCCGCGGUAAUACGAAGGGUGCAAGCGUUACUCGGAAUUACUGGGCGUAAAGCGUGCGUAGGUGGUCGUUUAAGUCCGUUGUGAAAGCCCUGGGCUCAACCUGGGAACUGCAGUGGAUACUGGGCGACUAGAGUGUGGUAGAGGGUAGCGGAAUUCCUGGUGUAGCAGUGAAAUGCGUAGAGAUCAGGAGGAACAUCCAUGGCGAAGGCAGCUACCUGGACCAACACUGACACUGAGGCACGAAAGCGUGGGGAGCAAACAGGAUUAGAUACCCUGGUAGUCCACGCCCUAAACGAUGCGAACUGGAUGUUGGGUGCAAUUUGGCACGCAGUAUCGAAGCUAACGCGUUAAGUUCGCCGCCUGGGGAGUACGGUCGCAAGACUGAAACUCAAAGGAAUUGACGG
rnacentral:rRNA from 1 species